UUCGGGUCUAGUGGCGCACGGGUGCGUAACGCGUGGGAAUCUGCCCUUGGGUUCGGAAUAACUCGCCGAAAGGCGUGCUAAUACCGGAUGAUGUCGYAAGACCAAAGAUUUAUCGCCCUGGGAUGAGCCCGCGUAGGAUUAGCUAGUUGGUGAGGUAAAGGCUCACCAAGGCGACGAUCCUUAGCUGGUCUGAGAGGAUGAUCAGCCACACUGGGACUGAGACACGGCCCAGACUCCUACGGGAGGCAGCAGUGGGGAAUAUUGGACAAUGGGCGCAAGCCUUAUCCAGCAAUGCCGCGUGAGUGAUGAAGGCCUUAGGGUUGUAAAGCUCUUUUACCCGGGAAGAUAAUGACUGUACCGGGAGAAUAAGCCCCGGCUAACUCCGUGCCAGCAGCCGCGGUAAUACGGAGGGGGCUAGCGUUGUUCGGAAUUACUGGGCGUAAAGCGCACGUAGGCGGCUUUGUAAGUCAGAGGUGAAAGCCUGGAGCUCAACUCCAGAACUGCCUUUGAGACUGCAUCGCUUGAAUCCGGGAGAGGUGAGUGGAAUUCCGAGUGUAGAGGUGAAAUUCGUAGAUAUUCGGAAGAACACCAGUGGCGAAGGCGGCUCACUGGACCGGUAUUGACGCUGAGGUGCGAAAG
rnacentral:rRNA from 1 species